AGUAACUGCGAGUGAAGCGGGAAAAGCUCAAAUUUAAAAUCUGGCAGAUGCUUGUCUGUCCGAGUUGUAACCUAGAGAAGUGUAACCUGUGCUGGACCGUGUACAAGUCUCCUGGAAUGGAGCAUCAUAGAGGGUGAGAAUCCUGUCUUUGACACGGACUACCCAGUGCAUUGUGGUUGCGCACUCAACGAGUCGAGUUGUUUGGGAAUGCAGCUCUAAAUGGGUGGUAAAUUCCAUCUAAAGCUAAAUAUUGGCGAGAGACCGAUAGCGAACAAGUACCGUGAGGGAAAGAUGAAAAGAACUUUGGAAAGAGAGUUAAACAGUAUGUGAAAUUGUUGAAAGGGAAACGCUUGAAGUCAGCUGCAUUGGCUGGGGAUCAAGCCAGCUUAUUUGCUGGGUGUACUUCCUGGUUGAUGGGCCAACAUCAGUUUUGACCAUCAGAGAAAGGCAGAGGGAAUGUGGCACCUUUAUAGGUGUGUUAUAGCCCUUGGUUGUAUGUGGUGGUUGGGACUGAGGAUAGCAGCGUGCCACAAGGCCGGGUUUCGACUACGUUCACGCUUUGGAUGUUGGCAUAAUGGCUUUAAGCGACCCGUCUUGAAACACGGACCAAGGAGUCUAACAUGCAUGCAAGUGUUUGGGUGGAAAACUCAAGCGCAUAAUGAAAGUGAAAGUUGAGAUCCCUCUCACAGGGGAGCAUCGACGCCCGGACCAGAACUUUUGGGACGGAUCUGCGGUAGAGCAAGCAUGUUGGGACCCGAAAGAUGGUGAACUAUGCCUGAAUAGGGUGAAGCCAGAGGAAACUCUGGUGGAGGCUCGUAGCGAUUCUGACGUGCAAAUCGAUCGUCGAAUUUGGGUAU
rnacentral:rRNA from 1 species